rnacentral:lncRNA from 1 species
GUCCUGAGUUCGAUGCCCAGUACCAAAAAAAAAUUGGGUAUUUUGUCCUAGCACAGGAAAUCUGACCAAUACAUCAAUAUCAGGUUUUCUGCUACAGCAGCACAAAGUUAGACUAAUAACCCUAUUAGAGAAGGAAGACAGGUGGAGAGUUUGAAAAGGAAACAAAGGAGCAGGAACUGUGUAGCUAGCCCAUCUGAAGGUCAAUAAGUGCCCUGUGGUUGGGGAUUGAAAAGACCUUGAUUUCUGGGCAAAGCCUAGGCAAGAAGCAAGCCUCAUAGAAAAUCUCCCACCAGGAUGGUGCAGAUAUGGAGCAGACAUAGCAGUGGAGCCUGUCUAGGCUUGAGAUCAGAACAGAUUCUAGAAGCUUGUACACCCUACUGCUGUAGAGAGAUGGGGAUCUUAUGACUGAGAGAGGAGGGGAUACAAUGGCAGAUUGUGAGCAUGGAGAAGAAUCCCUUCCCAGCUCCUAUUCAUACAUCACUCCCACUGCUGAAUUUCCACUCCCUUCCAUCCCAGCUGAGGGCAGGAUGGCUCAUCUCCCACCUAGAAAAGAAGUCACACAGAACAAAGCAAACAAAAACCAAGAAGAGGCUGUCCUCUCCCCCGUUACUGCUCCAUGACAGUUACAUAAUUCCCUCAGCAAGAGAGAGGUAAAGAACUGGGAAAAGCACAGAAUUCGAUUAUUACUGGAAUUAACCUGGAAAUGACAUUUUUUUUGCUUCUGAUCUGAGGCUUAAGAAGUAAAUUUAGUUCAGUUAGAGAAAAAUGAAGUUGUAUUUUUCCAUAUCUGAGUACAAGCAACUGUAUGUACUAUUUGAAAAUUUGGAAAAACUGGAGUAUACAAGAGAACAGUUGAAUAUUAUGUCUUUAAUGCGUAUAAAUAUGACAUAACAGCAUGAAGAUGUUUAUGAUUUAAUGUUAAGUGAAAAGAAGAAUAUAAAAAGGGAUGUCCUAAUUUUUAAAAAUACAUGCUGUUUAUACAGCAACAGUGUUUAAAAGAAAAAACUUCAAAACAUAUUCUGUAGUAGAAAUAAAAUUUGGAAAGUAAAGACAAUACAAUAUUAAAUGGUUGUCUUUGGAGAGCUGUGGGUAAUUAUUUUUUCUUCUUUCUAUUUUUUCUGAUUUUCCUCCAUAGCAUGUAUUUUUUAAUAAUGAAAGUUAUGCAUAUACAUACAUAUACAUUAUAUAUUUAAAGUACACCUAUUUAAAUAUGUAUGUGUGUGUAUUUCUUAAGUCAUGGUUUUUUCCAUGCUUUGAAGAGACUGGAGAAAAGGAGGAGGAGAAUCAAAGGGAUUUUCCAGGCCCUGUUUAACUCUGUCCCUCUCGUGGCUCUCAGUCAUCAGUUAUCUCAUUCUUACCUGGUAGGUAAUUGUUGGGUGAUGUCAUGGACAAGGUGAGCCAAGAAAGAUGGCCCUGAUGAAUGGGAGGCUUUGUUCGUGGAAAAGUCAAGAAACCUGUAGAGUCUGAAUUCCGUUCUCAAAGUGUGACCCUCUAAUCCCUUUCCACCUUUUCUUCAUUGCUUGUCAGAAAUGCAAAUUGUCAGGACCCACGACAGACCUACUGAAUCAGGAUUGAACUCGGGACCUUGCGCUUGCAAGGCAGGCACCGGAACCACUGAGCUAAAUCCUUGGCCCCAGACAACAAUUCUGACAGUGGAGCUGCCAAGUGAUUGAAGAGGGGAAAGCAAGUUGCUCCAGAACCUGGGAAGAAGCAAAAGGCUGGUGGGACUUUGAGAGCUCCGUUGUCUCCUGGGCACAGCAGGAGCAGCAGCAGUGAAAACAACAUGUUCCUGAGUGGGGAAGCAAGGUACUUCAUGCACAGGGUUUGUAAGGAAGGAGAUAACUGUCGUUACUCGCAGGACACCUCUCGGACAAUCCCUACGGUAUACUAUGCAAUUAUUUCCAGCAAGAGUACUGCGUGUAUGGAGAUGGCUACAGAUAUGAGCACCGCAAGCCAUUGAAACAGGAAGAAGCAGUAGCUAUAGAUCUAACUGCAAAAGCACCCCUUGCCGCUGCCUCGAGUUCCUCCUCCGUCGCUGAAGCUCUCAGGGAGAUGAAUACAGGCGAGGCUGAGUCCAGAAAUGCAAAUUCCCCGCCCUAGGUACAGUACAGGGUCAGAGGACUGGGUGAAUGCCAUUGAGUUCUGCCCAGCCAGCCCUACUGUGACCACGCCGCCCCUGCCUGCACAAAGGUCCUGGUGCAGGGAUCAGUGCCCAAGGCAGAGUCUGAGGAGCUGGCUACGUGGAGACCGAGAAGCAGCUCUGCCCCUAAGCGCUGUGGGAGAACUGCGUGUGGUGACACCUGGGACAUGUGCGGGCUGCAGGUCCAGCUCCUGGUGGAUACAGUCCAGAGGUCCCAGCAAAUAAAAUCUUGCAUCGAGGCCCACGAGAAGGACAUGGAGCUGUCCUUUUCGGUGCAGUGCAGCAAGGACAUGGUGUGUGGCAUCUGCAUGGGGUACGAGAAAGCCAACCCCAGUGAGCGCCGCUUCGGCAUCCUCUCCAGCUGAGACCAUACCUGGUGUCUCAAGUGUAUUCGAAAGUGGAGGAGUGCUAAGCAUUUUGAGAACAAGAUCAUAAAGUUCUGGGCUGAAUGCCAGAUCACAUCUACAUUUGUCAUUCCAAGUGAGUGCUGGGUGGAGGAGAAAGAGAAGCAGAAACUCAUUCAGAAAUACAAGGAGGCAAUGAGCAAAGGCAUGCAGGUAUUUUGAUGAAGGCCAUGGGAGCUGCCCAUUUGGAGGAAACUGUUACUAAAUUUUUUUUUUUUGGUAUAGGGGAUUGAACUUGGGACCUUGCACUUGCAAAGCAGGUGCCGGAACCACUGAGCUAAUUCCCCAGCCCUUGGAGGAAACUGUUUUUACAAGCAUGGGAACCCUGAUGACUUAAAGAGGAGCCACAGAGACAGAAAGUGGGAACAUCAAGCAGAUACUGGGUCCAACAGAGGAACCACUUCUGGGAGCUCACUGAGGAAAGAGAGAACAGAAGCCCCUUUGACAAUGAUGAAGAAGAGGCUGUCACCUUUGAGCUGGAUAAGAUGUUGCUUAUGCUUUUGGCUGCAAGUGGGGGCAAUGAACUGACUGACACUGACAACGAGUGGGACUUGUUUCACGAUAAGUUGGAAGACUUUUGUGACUUGGACCUCUACCGGCUUUGCAUGGCCUGGGAUCGGCCUACCGAGCCUCAAACAGUAGAUGUCCCCUGUGCCGUAUGGCAGUGAGUUGCUCUCCUACUCAGGCCUCAACUCCAGGUGCUGUCGUGACCACUUACCGGGUCCUACCCCACCCCACUUCCCCAAGACUGUGUCAUUUUCUUGGUUGCAAAAAGUUACAAAAACAAAUCUUCAAGUUAGAAAAAAAAAAGAACCAGUAUAGCUGAACAUGGUGGCACACACUUGUAGCAAGAUCCUGUCACAAAGUAAAAUGGGCUGGGGAAGUAGGUCAGUGAUAGAAAGUCUCCUGGGUCCCAUCCCCAGAAAUGGGGGGAAAACAUCAGAGUGGUACAUUGGCUUCUACUGAAGACAUUGAAUAUUAGAUCACUAUGAAGUUUUGAAUUUAAAACUUAUGGGGGAACAUGAUGUUUAUAUUUAUCCUAAAUAACUAUGUAAAGGUAGUAUAGAGACAUGCAAGUGCUCUGAUGUUUUACUUCCCCAGCACUCAGUCCUAGGACACUCCUGGAGGAUACAUUUUAGCAAAAUGAGGAUGCGUGAUAUGAAAGGAAAAGCUCUGCACCAUGGAAACUGGAGAAACCCAGAGGAGCAAUGAGGACAGGCCCAGCAAGACCCAUGGCAUAGGGUUGUACAAGAAAGAAAACAGAGUAAUGGAAGUCACCAUAAUACCUAAAAUUGAUGAACUAUGACAUAGUAGCAUGUGCAUACUAUUUAGAAAAGUGGAAGAAAACAAGAAAAAAACAUUUCAGAGAGUUGAAAUUGGUUGGUCCUGGAGGAUGGGUAAAGGACAGUUGUGUUUUGUCAUGAAUCUGUGGCCUUUUUGUUUUUAUCUAUGUACAUUACUUGAUAAAAAUGGGAACACUUAUGUACUGCUGAUCCAAAUGUAAGAUGGUGCAGCCAUUAACCUUAGAAAGUUAAACACAGUUACACUAUGUCAGGGUUUGGAGGUGCUAUGUUGCUAUGUCCUCCAGGGCUCAGGGGCUUGGUCUCUACUGCAGCAAUAUUCAGAGAGGGUACUUUUUGGAACCAGAUGGAUCAUGAGGACUCUAACUUCAUCAAUGGAUAAAUCCAUUAAUGAAUUCAUAGCUCAAUGAGCUUAUUAGGAAGUGGAGUCUAGUUGGAAGAAGCAAGUCACUGGGGGUAUGGCUUUGAAGGGUGUAUUUUGUUCCCAGCCCCUUCCUCUCCAGCUCACUCUGCUUACUGACUGCCUUGAUGUGAGCAGCUUUAUUCUGCCAUGCCCUUGUGCCAUUCCUUGUGCUACGGAAUACAGAAUACAGCAAUGGAAGCAGAUACCAUAGACUGACACUUCCGAAACUGUGAGUCAAAAUUAACAUUCUUCCUUUAAGCUGAUUUUCUCAGGUAUUAUAUAACAGUGACAAGAAAGUUAAUACAGCAUACAACCCUGCAAUUUCAUUCCUAGCUAUAUAGCCAAGACAGGUGUUUGCAGGAAUAGUUCUGUAGCAUUCAUAAUAACCAAAAAUGCAAACAAUACAAAUGUUCAUCAGUUGAUGAACAGAGAAAUAAAAUGUGGUAUGUACAUCCAUACAAUGGAAGACUAUUCUGUAAAAAGGAAGGAAAUACUGAUACAUAUUACAACAUGGUGAAACACAAAAGGCCGCAUAUUAUAUAAUUCCAUUAAUGUCAAGUGUUCAGAAUAGGCAACUCUAUAUACACAAAGUUAAUUGAGUAGAUUAGAGAUGUAGCUCAGUGACAGAGUGUGUGCUUAGAAUGGACAAGGGCCUGGAUCUGAGCACUGCUAAAAAGAGUUUAUUGGUUAGCUAAGGGUAGGGGGAGGAAGAGAUGAGGAGUAACUGCUAAGGAGUAUGGGAGUUCUUUUUUGGGGUAAUGAAAGUGUUCUUAGGGCCAGGGAUUUAGCUCAGUGUUUCCAUCACCUGCCUUGUAAGCACAAGGUUCCGAGUUUGAUCCCCAGUACCCCCAAAAAAAGUGUUCAUGUGAUGUUUGCACAACAUUGUGAAUAUAUUUUAAAACUACUAAACUGCACACUUUAAAAAAGGCCAACUGGUGAAUUUCAUGUCAAAUUUUAUCUCAAUUAAAGAUAAAUUUAAUUAUAAC